AGACAGUAACGUUUGGGAUAGUUGGUGUGUGUUCUAUUGGUAAUUUAAUUUUACAUUGAAACAAUAGAAUGAAUAAUAGUCUCUAUAUCUGAUGGCCUUAGUUACUUGCUAGUGCUGUCCCUUUAAAUGAGCAUGAUGUCCAAUUUAACUUGGUGACUAUAUGCAGGAAGUGUUCUGCUGUGUUUUAAUGCUUAGAUUGUGUAUUCACAUUUCUGUUAACAAAAAAAUAAAUGGGUAGUAUUGUAAAAAUGGGUAGUAUAAUAUAGAAGGGUAGUAUAUAUAUGGGUUUUAUUAUAUAGAAGGGUAGUACUAUACAGAUGGGUAGUAUUAUAUAGAAGGGUAGUAUUGU